UUAAAAAGCAAAGAACGCAAGCGCAACUUCCUUUUCUUCCCAAUGGUGGAAGGAGCUGGUUUCACGUGCUGCACGUUGCACCAGUGUAACUAAGUUGCGCCAGAUUAAGAUGAUUGCUUCUGCCAAUGGAGAGGACCAUUGUAAAGUAGAUGAAGAUGAUUGCUUCUGCCUAUGGAGAGUACCAUUGUAAAGAUCAAAGGAUUGCCACUAGAAAAGGGUGACCUGAGUUGCAUCUUAAUGAAGAUGGAUCAAAGGAUUGCCACUAGAAAAGGAUGACCUGAGUUGCAUCUUAAUGAAGAUGGGUGUGCAGAUAAUACAAGAUCUGCUUGCGGAGUUCUUCCAAAGUAAGGUCUCGUCUGUGCAGGGAGUCCAGGUCAUGGAGCGCAUGGGGAAAAACUGCAUCGGGUGGAAAAACAAGCGCAGAGGCCCCUGCAUUCCAAUGACAAAUUUGCUUGCAUUUCUAAACCUUCAGUAUCAUGCACUGUAACAGGAGGUGCUGAAAGGUGAACAUGACUUCGGUUUUGUUCAAAUCUUCAACUGAAAUAAAUUCUCAUUG